rnacentral:rRNA from 1 species
UGUGUAGGCGGUUGCUUAAGUUUGGUGUGAAAUCUCCCGGCUCAACUGGGAGGGUGCGCCGAAUACUGAGUGACUCGAGUGCGGGAGAGGAGAGUGGAAUUCCUGGUGUAGCGGUGAAAUGCGUAGAUAUCAGGAGGAACACCGGUGGUGUAGACGGCUCUCUGGACCGUAACUGACGCUGAGACACGAAAGCGUGGGUAGCAAACAGGAUUAGAUACCCUGGUAGUCCACGCCCUAAACGAUGCAUAUUUGGUGUGGGCGGUUCAGUCUGUCCGUGCCGGAGCUAACGCGUUAAAUAUGCCGCCUGGGGAGUACAGUCGCAAGGCUGAA